AAAAGAAUGAUAAUUAAAAAUGAUGUGAUCGAAAUCUUUUUUGAAAAUGUUCAAAAGUGUAACGAGCCGGGUGAAGAACCAAUUCAAAAGGUACUUAAUGGAACUCACGCCGUGCUAGCAUCAAGACAGAAAAUUAAAUUAAGCAUGAACGAAAGGGAAAAAGAGAACGUCUUCAUCUCAGAAGAUAUACUUUUUACGAAAUUCCAGUUUAUACAAAUGAAUUUAGCCAAAGUAAAUUAUGCUGUUAAUGUAGCUAAAACAUAUUAACAAAGAUUCUGAGUGAAGUGUUAAUGAAGUUAAGGAUACAUCCUGAAUGUUAAUAAAGAUAUUCUCAGAAAUUGUAAAUUCGUUAGAACUAUAAUGUCGAUCAAGAAGACUUUUUCUGUUUCCUAACGGACGUAGACCUGAUGAAUUGAUGCUCGUAACAACAGUUAAAACAUUUCUGAGAGAUGCAUGUCCCCUAUUAACAUCAGGCACCAUAACUAAAACAUUCGAACCAAUUUUAACCGAAGAAAAUUUUGAGUUAGAUAGUAAAAUCAUUUUAUAUGCCUGUUUCUCUAGUCCGGAUUUAAGCUCUUCUCCAGCAAUGAUUCUGUUUUUUCUUAACCAUAGCUUACAAGUAACGUUUGAAGGAAAUCCCUCAUUCAAGUUGCUUUCCCCAGAGAUAACGUGAGCAUAUUCUUGAAACUAAACAUGAACGCCUUACGGUCUUCCUUAAUAAUUACCAUAAUGCGCAGUGAUCAAAUUUCAUAUAAGCUACGCGGUUUUAUGAAUUAGCCAAAACGCUUUGUGGUUCGUUUUUUUCGCUCAAUAAACGUGUUUGCUCUUUGACCCUAACAUAUGUAAUAGAUCAAAACACCACACAGUUUCACAUCUAUUCGCUAACAUAAGAAUUUAUUUUUGCUUUUUAUUGGCGAUUGUUCAAGUGUCGGACAUCUAGAUUAAGGUAGAUUUUGAAUAAUUUAACUAAUAUCGCUCUAAUAUAUAAGUCUAGUAACUUUCUCAACAUGUACAGAACUUUCAUAGUAUAUAUUUAUAUUUAACAGGGUAAAUCGUAUUGAACAAAGUGGAUUAUCUGAAAAAAUCCAUAGAGAUAUGCGUGAUGAAAAAACAAGAAGCGACCUCUUCUACAAUGAUCAUACAAUUGAUACUAGUAAUGAAGAACCUCUGGAAAUGGAUGAUAUUAUGGGUCUACUCUAUUUAUUAGUUACAGGAUAUUUGAUCUCUUCUGUAGUAUUUCUUACAGAAAUUCUAGUAAACAAGAUAAAAAAAAAACUUGAAAGGAAAACUGCAGAAUGAGGCCUUUCGAUAUUGUUAAUUAAUAUUUUAUCACAUUUGAAAACAUAGGUAAUAACUUAUGUAAUAAGUCUGUAUUUGUAAGAGAAGUUGCUUGUGUUCAUUAGUUCAUUUAUUAUAACAUACCUUUCUGAACAACACGUUUAUAAAUUGUGAUAAAUUAGAGUUUCAGCAAUUGACACUUAAGUGUUUUAUUUGUUUGUAUGUAAAUUAAUAAUCGAAAGCAAUAAAAGUUACAGCCGAAUGCAAAUGUUAAAUUGUUAAUAAAAUCCAUAUAAAAUAUACAAGUAUACAAAAGAACAUUGUUUCAAAGUAAACAUUCGAAAAUAAUUCAAAUUAAUUUAUGGUACAAGACGUGUUAUAUUACUGUUAUGAUAAGCACGGUGUCCAGAUUUCGUUUGCUCAAUGUUCACAUUACAGUGACUUCACUUGAUUUCUGCUUGACAAAAAAUGCACGUGGUAGUGCAUAAUUCCUUUAUCAUGCUGAUGUUUACUAUGGGUAUGGUUUCUCCAAUUUGCAUUUCUAAUUCGGGCGUGUAACGUAAAAGAUGCGGCAUAAAAUCUCUUUUGUUAAUAUAAUUACAUCAGUUUAAAUGCGGUUAAAUUAGUUAGCGAGGCCACAUCAUGAAACCAUUAUAGUCAUAUAGCCCGUUGUGUAUCAUGUGAUUACGGUUUUUGAACUGUGUUUUUCAAUCUUUUAGAUGAAUUACCUUAUUAACCAUUUUGAAAAAGCUCUUCUGCAUUUAUUUUAAACAAAGCACAUACAUGUAAUUUCUUUAAAUAUACUUAUCAGAAAUCUAAA
rnacentral:misc_RNA from 1 species